AUCUAGGUAGUUUAAUUAAAACGUUGGUUUGUGGUACCAUUGAUAAAAAUAUUUUUCUUGGAUC
rnacentral:tRNA from 1 species